AUGCCGCACCUCUCUUUAUAUACCCCCUCCUGCUGCACAUCGCUCCACACACACACACGGACACACCUCUACGCACACUACUGCUAUCUGCUGAUUGCUAUCUCUCUCACAUCCCACAUCAACCCGCUACGCCUUGGGUCACCUCAAGGCCUUCGAGACAGGGGGAGUUCCACGGCGCCCGAGGAUGGACACCGCCAUAGGCGCGGCGAAGUGGGUGCUGGAGAAGGCGAUGGCCCCUGUCACGGAUGGCUUGCUGGAUGGCUUCCCUGGGCAGCUAGCGCCAAUCUCAAUCGCAACAUCGACGACCUCAAGAUGGAGUUGCUGUAUGCGCAUGGGAUGCUCGAGAACGCGCAGGGCAGGGGCAUCCGUGGCCUCGCGCUCAAGGAGCUCCUGCACAAGUUGGAGCAGCUGGCAUACGGAGCAGAUGAUGUGCUGGAUGAGCCGGAGUACUUCCGCAUCCAGGACGUCCUUAAAGGAACCUACCGUGCCGCCAACGUGAAUGACGUGGGUUCCACCCAGGCCAUCCGCAUCAAUGUUGAACACACGGCAAGACACGUCACCAGCAAACUCGUGGGUGCUGCUAGCCAUGGCGAUGACCAAGAAAGUGACCCUAGUGAUCACCAAGAAAAUGAUGGCAAUCAAGGAUGCCUCUCUGGCGUACGCUUGUGUGGCAGGCGGGGCAUCAGCUCCUCUCCACCGACGCCUGCCAACAAGGGGGGUGUCAAGAAGGUUGAUAGCAGAUGCAUGCCCAAGGUCAUCUCAAGUGCUCGCAACGCUGCCUACACAUUCGGUAAACACUUUCCAUGCUACUCUCCCAUAUCUGUCCACGAUGAUAAUCCUCAAGCCCCUGUGAUUGUUGAAAGAAAAAAUGAUGAUCCUCAACCUAUCAUGUCCGAGCAUGCAAGCCAAAGAGACUGUGAUAUAGAAACAAUAGAAUUGCCGUUCAAUAGGGUGCAAAUGUCUAAAACAAUGGAGGAUAUGGUAAAGCAGCUGAAGGAAGUAUGUGCUAAGGUCUCCAUAAUUCUCAAUCUAGACUUUUUGGGCUACAUCCAUACCCGUACCAAAGAAAUUGAUAUAAAUAACAGAUCCAAAACCACAUCUGAGAUUAUAGAACCUCAGUUUUACGGGAGGGGUGACCAAAAGAGGAAAAUUGUAGAUGUCAUUAAUAGUCACGAGUAUUCUUCCUGUCAACUUAACAUGCUUCCAAUUUUUGGAACGGGGGGUAUUGGGAAAACAACUUUUACGCAACACAUAUGCCAAGAAGUGAAAAGCUCUUUCCAGGCUUCAAUUUGGAUAUGUGUCUCUCUCGAUUUCAGUGCAGAUAGGUUGGCACAAGAGAUAGUUCAGAAAAUCGAUAGAGUUGAUGGUGACAAGGAUAACGCAAGUGCCGAAGAACUUAUCCAACAAAGAUUAAAAGCUAAGAGGUUUUUACUCGUCUUGGAUGAUGUGUGGACAUAUCGAGAGGAUGAGUGGAAUAAACUAAUAGCACCUUUCAAAAAGGUUGAAUCCAAGGGUAAUUUCAUUAUAGUCACAACUCGAAUACCAAAGGUAGCAGAAAUGGUUAGGACAACCAAUCAUCAAAUAGAACUGGAAAGACUGGGUGAUACAGAUACCAUGCGUUUCUUCGAAGCAUGUGUAUUUGGUAACGAGCUAGAACCAUGGGGAGAACAUCCUGCAUUACUUAAAACUGGUCACGAAGUAGUGCACCGUUUGAAAGGUUCCCCUCUUGCAACCAAAACUUUGUUUGUAUAUUGUGCUUUGUUUCCGGAAGAUUACGAAUUUGAUAGCAAGGAGUUAGUUCAGCUGUGGAUAGGACUAGAUGAUAAAGAUGUUGAUGAUAGAAUCACUUUUGGCGACUAUAAAUAUGAUUUGAGUGCAUUAGGUAAAAGAUUAAAAGUUGAAAACCUACGUACCCUGAUGUUGUUUGGGCGAUACCAUGGUAGCUUUGCCAAGACCUUUGGUGAUCUGUUUAAAAAAGCUAAAGCCCUUCGUACUAUUUUUCUAUCUGGAGCAUCAUACUCUGUGGAGGACAUUUUGCACAAUUUUUCAGAAACCAUCCAUCUUCAUUACCUAAGGAUCGAGCCAUUAGAAUUAAGAAGGGAACCAACAAGAGAAGAAAAUGUUCUUGAAAACCUUGUACCACAUAGUGACCUUCGAGAUCUGUGCAUUAGAGGGCACGGAGGUACUAGUUGCCCAACAUGGCUAGGUGAGAACCUCUUGGUCAGAAAUUUGGAAUCUCUUCACUUGGCUGACGUAUCUUGGAAAACCUUUCCACCACUAGGAGAGUUCUGGUCGGUUCAUGAGCCCCACGAGCAAGAAGUAGCAAACGUGACUUGGUUCUCUAGACUACGGGAGUUCAAGAUUGUAAGAUGCCCAAAUCUGAGGACAAUGCCUCCUAUCCCUUGGACCAGUAGCCUAUUCUCCACUGAGAUAGCAGAAACAGGCUCAACUUUUGAGAAGCUCACUUACUCAAAAGGAAGGUACGAAAAACCGGGAUUAAGUUUGGAAAUUUGGGCAGCGGAUGGUGCAGAUAGCUUGUUUUGGAAAGCGUUGGCUUUCUGUAAUUUGAGUGCACUACAAAGAUUGUAUCUAUCCAAUUGCCCUCCUUUGCCAUUGAAUAUCAUCCAAAUGCUAACAUGUCUGCAGUGCCUCACUAUAAGUGGCUGUUCGAGUAUUGUUUUGUCGCCAAUCGGAGGCGAGAGCCAUGUCAGAUACGAGUUUCCAUUGGAAGAACUCUGCAUUUUUGAUAGUGGUGCUAGUGGGAAAGAAUUGAGUCAACUGCUCUCUCACUUCCCGAGGCUCACCACGCUGGAAAUAGCUCAUUGCGAAAUGAUAACAGAAGUUGGUGUGUCGGAGCAGCAGAGUGGAUCACAGCAGCAGCAUCAGAGAAAAGAAGAGGAGGAAAUAGUGGCGACGGCAGAAGGAGGACUGCUGCUCUUGCCUACCCAACUACAUAAGUUGAGCGUCCAAAAUUGCAGUCAGCUGAGGAUAGUCCCUAAUUCUGGGGGCGACAACAACCAAGCAGCAGGAGGUCUCCAGCGUCUAUGCUCCCUCCGCAAAGUGAGAUUCGAGAAGUGCCCCAAUUUGCUUUCCUCUUAUUCGGGCUCCUCCUCGUCUUGUUUCCCUUUCCCGACCUCCCUGGAAAAACUCGACCUAUGCAAGAUUGAACAAGUCAAUAUGGCAAUCACAAACCUAUCCAGCCUCGAAGAACUCAAGCUGACCAACAUGGAUGCCCUCACAAAUCUAAGCAUCAGUCCUUCCUCAAAACUGCAUACCCUAAACAUACGAAGCUCCGCAGGAGUUCUGUCCGACUCCAUAUGCAGCCUCCUCUCUACCUCCCUCACCACAUUGAACUUUUUUGGUAGCGAAGAGGUGGAGCCCAUCCUAGGAGAGGCCCUCCUGCUUCUCACCUCCCUCCAAGAGCUCGUAUUUGUUUACUGCGACAAAUUGCAGUUCCUCCCUGCAGGUCUACAUAAACUUGCCAGCAUCAAGUACUUAGGUAUCGCUGAAUGCCCAUCCCUCCAGUCGCUACCCAAGGACGGCCUCCCGAGUUCUUUGCAGCAAUUAGAGAUCACCAGCUGUUCCAUGAAAUCAUUCCCCAAGGACAGCCUCCCGAGUUCUCUGCAGCAAUUACAUAUCUCCCGUUGUUCUGAGCUCGAAUUGCUUCCCACUUUUUCGGACAGCCUCCCGACUUCUCUGCAAAAAUUAGAGAUCUGGGAUUGUCCUGCCAUCAAAUCGGUGCCCAAGGACGCCCUCCCGAGUUCUCUGCAGGAAUUAGUGAUCAGGAUGUGUCCUGAAAUCAAAUCGCUACCGGAGGACGGCCUCCCCAAAUCCCUGCGAGUACUAGAUGUCAGUUACGGCAACAGCGAGGAGCUUAAAAGGCAGUGCCGCAGGGCUUUUCUUUCUCUUCUUGAUUGGUACAUCAUCAGUCGUUCUUCUCAGGCUCAUCAGUUUUUACUUUUUACCAGUGCAAGCACCAAGACUUUAGUCUGUAUCAUCCAUCAUGGCUCUAUCUUGGAGUUGCACGGUUUUGAGCCCUUCAAGGACUCACUCUGUCCAUCCAUGCACACUUCUCACAUGAGGGUCUUGUGGUAUCCUCUGAUGUACAUAAAUCUGGACUCUAUCCUGGAAUUAUACAUUUCUGUACACUUUGUAGUAUUCACUCCAGCACUUGUAGGAUUCCUACAAGUGUUACUGAUCUGGAAGGGUUACGGGAACCACCAGCUGCUGGCAGACCUGGUUCUCCUGAAAUUUCAAUCUACACCUCAUCGGUACUUGGCAUUGCAUUUCCUACAUUGGGAUCUAGCAUACUCCGCCGGUCCACAUGUUGAUCACUUGACCAUUUCCCCCUGCCGCACGAGGUGUGAGGAGGGCAAGAUGUCGAGGGCAAUGGUGCUGCUGACGAUGAAAACCUACUCUCUGAGAAUCUCCUCCGCCUCCUCCAGCAGCCGUCCUCACUCCCCCGUGCCUCCCUCGUCUGCAAACGCCAGCGUCGCAUCCGCUCCCCUCCUCAGUUGCUUCGUCAGCGACCUGAGAGGCUUCUCCUACGCACAUACCAUGGAGGACCCAGCUCGUGUCACCGCCGGGUGCGGUCAUGGGUCCUGGAUCCACGACACUGUUCACUUGGUUGGUUCCGGGGGACAACCAAAAGGGAACGCCGUUCCGCCAGGAUCGCAUCAGGCGAUUGGAGGAGGCGACCGGGAUCCCUUGCGCGCCGCCGGUGACGCCGCCGGUUCCCUCUCUCUCCGUCGGCCGCUCCGGCGGCCGGAGGGAGGGGGAACCCCGCGUCUGUUCUUUAGGUGGGCGUGUGGUAGGGUUAGGGUUGAGGGAGACGCUGCCGAGGCCGUUGCGGUGGUGUCACGUCGGAAUAAAUUUCUCCGGGCUCCGUUCGCGGUCAGGCGAGGCUUUUGCCUUCGUCUAGGAGCCAGCGGUGUUGGGGAUCCCCGGAUCUCGUCGAGGUCGCGGGCUAUGGUGGUUGGAGGUCCAUCGGCACUGGCCGUUUGGAUCCUCAGAUGGGCGAUGGAUGCAGGGAGACGAAGACCUUUCUUCUUCCUUAUUGGUAUGAUUUGUUGCUGCUGUUCUUCUCCUUCCUCUGCGCUGAUACUGGUGGGAGAUCCUGCUUUGUCCGGGCAGAUGGCCCGGCCGCGGUGCUGGACCGGUUGGAUGACUCGAGUUCUCUUCCUUUCGGAAGGGACAAUUUUCGUGGUACUCAAAGCCAAAGAUGGCGACGACUAUUGCAGGUGUGUUGGAUUGAUGUCCAUGCCCUCUCAGCGAUGGUGUCAAGAAAGGAGGAAGCAGCGUGGCGGCAAUUAUACCGUGGUCGAAGAUGAUGACCUGUUUGCGACUGGUUGCAGAUCCUUCUGCUGCAGGGGUCUUCUCUCAAGAUUCAGGGAUGAUGACACAGGGCUCCGGAGAUCUUCUUAUGUUAUGUUGUCUUAG
rnacentral:rRNA from 1 species